rnacentral:rRNA from 1 species
GGCCUAACACAUGCAAGUCGAACGUGAAGCCACCUUCGGGUGGUGGAAAGUGGCGCACGGGUGCGUAACACGUGGAUAAUCAACCCCUUGGCUCGGGAUAACCCCGGGAAACCGGGGCUAAUACCGGAUGAUACGGCCGGGUCUUCGGACCUGGACGGGAAAGACAGGUAAUGGUCACCGAGGGACGAGUCCGCGGCCCAUCAGCUAGAUGGUGAGGUAAAGGCUCACCAUGGCGAAGACGGGUAGCUGGUCUGAGAGGAUGAUCAGCCACACUGGAACUGAGACACGGUCCAGACUCCUACGGGAGGCAGCAGUGGGGAAUAUUGCGCAAUGGGCGAAAGCCUGACGCAGCCACGCCGCGUGAGCGAUGAAGGCUUUCGGGUCGUAAAGCUCUGUGGAGGGAGAAGAAGAAAGCGGGUGAAGAGCCCGCCUUGACGGUAUCCCUUUAGCAAGCACCGGCUAACUCCGUGCCAGCAGCCGCGGUAAUACGGAGGGUGCGAACGUUGCUCGGAAUCAUUGGGCGUAAAGCGCGCGUAGGCGGCCGCGCAAGUUGGACGUGAAAGCCCUGGGCUCAACCCAGGAAGUGCGUCCAAAACUGCGUGGCUCGAAUCCCCGGAGGGGGCCAGAGAAUUCCCGGUGUAGAGGUGAAAUUCGUAGAU